rnacentral:rRNA from 1 species
GACGAACCGAGCGAACGUUGUUCGGAAUCACUGGGCUUAAAGGGCGCGUAGGCGGGUGCUCAAGUCCGGGGUGAAAUCCCACAGCUCAACUGUGGAAUUGCCUCGGAUACUGGGCGUCUCGAGGGUGGCAGGGGUAUGCGGAACUAUCGGUGGAGCGGUGAAAUGCGUUGAUAUCGGGAGGAACACCUGUGGCGAAGGCGGCCCCCUGGUUGGAUACUGACGCUGAUACGCGAAAGCGUGGGGAGCAAACAGG